rnacentral:rRNA from 1 species
UUGAAAGGGAAACGAUUGAAGUCAGUCGUACCAGCGGGAAAUCAACCUUUCGAGUGGNNUUUUGGAGUUUUGAAGAGUGUCAAAACCUUUGAGAUUUCAAAAUUUUCGCUCCUUUGGUGUACUUUCUCGUGGGUAGGUUAACAUCGAUUUCGAUCAUCAUAAAAGGAUUGGAGGAAUGUAGCUUCGAUCUUGUAUUGAAGUGUUAUAGCCUUUGGUAAAUGUGAUGAUUGGGAUCGAGGAUUGCAACGAAUACCCUUUUGGGCUAUCCGCCUGAUCUCUGAUACGUGGCCUUGGCAUCGAAAGCUUGCUUAUGGUAUCAAGGUAUUACGGUCAAAAGGUUAGAACGGAUUACAUUCGUUAAGGAUGUUGACGUA